CUUAAGGGAUCAGGGUAUUCCCACAGGCCGCAGUAGAUCCAGCAAACAAGACAUGGGUAGUUCUGCUCGAAAAGUUUCUGUGUCAGAGACUGCAAGAGAUGGUCGAAAAUGCCUUGCUUAGGAAGCCUGGAGGAGAGGAUAUUCUUGAAGAGUACAAGUCAGAAAAUUCACUGAGCCACCGCACCCGGAGACAGCUUGUCAACAUAUUGGCAAGUGAUAUGACCGAGAGACAUGGCAGGAUUCCUACCCGUCAGCAGAGGGAGAAGUAUGCCCUGGGAAUUAUUACUCUUUCCUUCAAAGGGCUAUGUAAGUUUUGCAGUGAUAGUAAGAAAACAUUGCACAGAUUACAGUUUUAGUUUUCAUCAUGGAAUAACUACUGUAGCUAAUAAAAGUGAAACGAUUGAAAAAUUCUGCUAUUUGGUGUUAUUUUGGUUUUGAUAGUGACUACAAAUGUAGUGUCAUAGAUAGAACCACAAUUGAAACUGGUGUAGGUUAUAAAGUUCAACUGGUCAAAGAUGCAAAAUCACAAUCAAUGGCCCUGAUUCAAAAGGACUCCGAUUCAUAUUGCAUCUUAAUAUGAAAAUAGAACGCCUAUAACAUAAGUGAUUGUUCUUCUUGUUUUUUUUUGCUGCAUCUGCACUUGCUGUAAGAUCCUUUUGUGAUGUUCAUUAGUUCGUUUAAAUUUAACUUACUAAACUAAAUUAAAAUUCAACAUUUCUAUGAUGGGGAGAAAUGCAGUGGAUAUUUAGCGUGGCGCCUCAAGACCAUAUCCAGGAGUACCGUUAAACAGCCAGCCAAGGAAACCUCAGUGCCUCAAGAACAAGGGCCAAAGCGCUGAAGAUCAGCAAACACACUGCCUCAGCAGCUUGAUGGAGAUGCCUGCAGAGAGGCUAUUUCAUUUCUUUUUCAACUCCUGAUGAAGCAAGUGUACUUCAGAAGAUGAUGGAUGACAUUCCAACAUCGCCAGGACCUAGUGUAUGACCCACAAAGAACCGCAGAUGUCUUCAAAACAUUUACACGCUUUUUGGAUGUCAAAGGCCUAGUAAAUCAAGACUUCCUGCUGCUCUUUGGUGUUGAAACAAGCUCCAAGUUGCUUCAGAAGUGGGACACCUCAUUCAAGCCCAAGCCUUGUCUCCCCCCUCCCCGAUAGGCUGGG